rnacentral:rRNA from 1 species
AGUCGAGCGAGCGGAACUAACAGAUUUACUUCGGUAAUGACGUUAGGAAAGCGAGCGGCGGAUGGGUGAGUAACACGUGGGGAACCUGCCCCAUAGUCUGGGAUACCACUUGGAAACAGGUGCUAAUACCGGAUAAGAAAGCAGAUCGCAUGAUCAGCUUUUAAAAGGCGGCGUAAGCUGUCGCUAUGGGAUGGCCCCGCGGUGCAUUAGCUAGUUGGUAAGGUAAAGGCUUACCAAGGCGAUGAUGCAUAGCCGAGUUGAGAGACUGAUCGGCCACAUUGGGACUGAGACACGGCCCAAACUCCUACGGGAGGCAGCAGUAGGGAAUCUUCCACAAUGGACGCAAGUCUGAUGGAGCAACGCCGCGUGAGUGAAGAAGGUUUUCGGAUCGUAAAGCUCUGUUGUUGGUGAAGAAGGAUAGAGGUAGUAACUGGCCUUUAUUUGACGGUAAUCAACCAGAAAGUCACGGCUAACUACGUGCCAGCAGCCGCGGUAAUACGUAGGUGGCAAGCGUUGUCCGGAUUUAUUGGGCGUAAAGCGAGCGCAGGCGGAAGAAUAAGUCUGAUGUGAAAGCCCUCGGCUUAACCGAGGAACUGCAUCGGAAACUGUUUUUCUUGAGUGCAGAAGAGGAGAGUGGAACUCCAUGUGUAGCGGUGGAAUGCGUAGAUAUAUGGAAGAACACCAGUGGCGAAGGCGGCUCUCUGGUCUGCAACUGACGCUGAGGCUCGAAAGCAUGGGUAGUGAACAGGAUUAGAUACCCUGGUAGUCCAUGCCGUANACGAUGAGUGCUAAGUAUUGGGAGGUUUCCGCCUCUCAGUGCUGCA